UGAGAUCACCGGGGUUGACUAAUUAGGACUUACUCUCGGAGUUAGGCUUAUCCUGAAGCACACAGCCAUGAGAAAAGGGCUAAGAACUGGAACAAAAUGGAUUUCUUUGGAGUAGAAAAGAGGGGGUGUACCAAUGAUCUGUCAAGUGAUGCGACACUAGAAUCAGGCUGGAAUUUGGCGUCUUACGGCUACAAAAGUGUUUCAUCAGUCUUCAG
rnacentral:lncRNA from 10 species